rnacentral:rRNA from 1 species
AGUGAACGCUGGCGGUAGGCCUAACACAUGCAAGUCGAACGGCAGCACAGUAAGAGCUUGCUCUUACGGGUGGCGAGUGGCGGACGGGAGAGGAAUACAUCGGAAUCUACUUUUUCGGGGGGGAUAACGUAGGGAGACUUACGCUAAUACCGCAUACGACCUACGGGUGAAAGCAGGGGAUCUUCGGACCUUGCGCGAUUGAAUGAGCCGAUGUCGGAUUAGCUAGUUGGCGGGGUAAAGGCCCACCAAGGCGACGAUCCGUAGCCGGUCUGAGAGGAUGAUCAGCCACACUGGAGCUGAGCCACGGUCCAGACUCCUACGGGAGGCCGCAGUGGGGAAUAUUGGACAAAGGGCGCAAGCCUGAUCCAGCCAUACCGCGUGGGUGAAGAAGGCCUUCGGGUUGUAAAGCCCUUUUGUUGGUAAAGAAAAGCAGCAGGUUAAGACCCCGCUGUUCUGACGGUACCCGAAGAAUAAGCACCGGCUAACUUCGUG